GAUUAAGUUAUUAAGGGCGCACGGUGGAUGCCUUGGCACUAGAAGCCGAUGAAGGACGUUACUAACGACGAUAUGCUUUGGGGAGCUGUAAGUAAGCGUUGAUCCAGAGAUUUCCGAAUGGGGAAACCCAGCAUGAGUUAUGUCAUGUUAUCGAUAUGUGAAUACAUAGCAUAUCAGAAGGCAGACCCGGAGAACUGAAACAUCUUAGUACCCGGAGGAAGAGAAAGAAAAAUCGAUUCCCUGAGUAGCGGCGAGCGAAACGGGAAGAGCCCAAACCAACAAGCUUGCUUGUUGGGGUUGUAGGACACUCUAUACGGAGUUACAAAAGUAUAUAUUAGACGAAUCAUCUGGAAAGUUGAAUCAAAGAAGGUAAUAAUCCUGUAGUCGAAAAUAUAUACUCUCUUGAGUGGAUCCUGAGUACGACGGAGCACGUGAAAUUCCGUCGGAAUCUGGGAGGACCAUCUCCUAAGGCUAAAUACUCUCUAGUGACCGAUAGUGAACCAGUACCGUGAGGGAAAGGUGAAAAGUACCCCGGAAGGGGAGUGAAAGAGAACUUGAAACCGUGUGCUUACAAGUAGUCAGAGCCCGUUAAUGGGUGAUGGCGUGCCUUUUGUAGAAUGAACCGGCGAGUUACGAUUUGAUGCAAGGUUAAGCAGCUAAUGUGGAGCCGUAGCGAAAGCGAGUCUGAAUAGGGCGUUUAGUAUUUGGUCGUAGACCCGAAACCAGGUGAUCUACCCUUGGUCAGGUUGAAGUUCAGGUAACACUGAAUGGAGGACCGAACCGACUUACGUUGAAAAGUGAGCGGAUGAACUGAGGGUAGCGGAGAAAUUCCAAUCGAACUUGGAGAUAGCUGGUUCUCUCCGAAAUAGCUUUAGGGCUAGCCUCAAGUGAUGAUUAUUGGAGGUAGAGCACUGUUUGGACGAGGGGCCCUUCUCGGGUUACCGAAUUCAGACAAACUCCGAAUGCCAAUCAAUUUAACUUGGGAGUCAGAACAUGGGUGAUAAGGUCCGUGUUCGAAAGGGAAACAGCCCAGACCACCAGCUAAGGUCCCAAAAUAUAUGUUAAGUGGAAAAGGAUGUGGCGUUGCCCAGACAACUAGGAUGUUGGCUUAGAAGCAGCCAUCAUUUAAAGAGUGCGUAAUAGCUCACUAGUCGAGUGACACUGCGCCGAAAAUGUACCGGGGCUAAACAUAUUACCGAAGCUGUGGAUUGUCCGUAGGACAAUGGUAGGAGAGCGUUCUAAGGGCGUCGAAGCAUGAUCGCAAGGACAUGUGGAGCGCUUAGAAGUGAGAAUGCCGGUGUGAGUAGCGAAAGACGGGUGAGAAUCCCGUCCACCGAUUGACUAAGGUUUCCAGAGGAAGGCUCGUCCGCUCUGGGUUAGUCGGGUCCUAAGCUGAGGCCGACAGGCGUAGGCGAUGGAUAACAGGUUGAUAUUCCUGUACCACCUAGUAUCGUUUUAAUCGAUGGGGGGACGCAGUAGGAUAGGCGAAGCGUGCUAUUGGAUUGCACGUCCAAGCAGUAAGACUGAGUGUUAGGCAAAUCCGGCACUCAUAAGGUCAAGCUGUGAUGGGGAGAGGAAAUUGUUUCCUCGAGUCGUUGAUUUCACACUGCCAAGAAAAGCCUCUAGAUAGAUAACAGGUGCCCGUACCGCAAACCGACACAGGUAGUCAAGAUGAGAAUUCUAAGGUGAGCGAGCGAACUCUCGUUAAGGAACUCGGCAAAAUGACCCCGUAACUUCGGGAGAAGGGGUGCUCUUUAGGGUUAACGCCCAGAAGAGCCGCAGUGAAUAGGCCCAAGCGACUGUUUAUCAAAAACACAGGUCUCUGCUAAACCGUAAGGUGAUGUAUAGGGGCUGACGCCUGCCCGGUGCUGGAAGGUUAAGAGGAGUAGUUAGCUUCUGCGAAGCUACGAAUCGAAGCCCCAGUAAACGGCGGCCGUAACUAUAACGGUCCUAAGGUAGCGAAAUUCCUUGUCGGGUAAGUUCCGACCCGCACGAAAGGCGUAACGAUUUGGGCACUGUCUCAACGAGAGACUCGGUGAAAUCAUAGUACCUGUGAAGAUGCAGGUUACCCGCGACAGGACGGAAAGACCCCGUGGAGCUUUACUGUAGCCUGAUAUUGAAAUUCGGCACAGCUUGUACAGGAUAGGUAGGAGCCUUUGAAACGUGAGCGCUAGCUUACGUGGAGGCAUUGGUGGGAUACUACCCUAGCUGUGUUGGCUUUCUAACCCGCACCACUUAUCGUGGUGGGAGACAGUGUCAGGUGGGCAGUUUGACUGGGGCGGUCGCCUCCUAAAAGGUAACGGAGGCGCUCAAAGGUUCCCUCAGAAUGGUUGGAAAUCAUUCAUAGAGUGUAAAGGCAUAAGGGAGCUUGACUGCGAGACUUACAAGUCGAGCAGGGUCGAAAGACGGACUUAGUGAUCCGGUGGUUCCGCAUGGAAGGGCCAUCGCUCAACGGAUAAAAGCUACCCCGGGGAUAACAGGCUUAUCUCCCCCAAGAGUUCACAUCGACGGGGAGGUUUGGCACCUCGAUGUCGGCUCAUCGCAUCCUGGGGCUGUAGUCGGUCCCAAGGGUUGGGCUGUUCGCCCAUUAAAGCGGUACGCGAGCUGGGUUCAGAACGUCGUGAGACAGUUCGGUCCCUAUCCGUCGUGGGCGUAGGAAAUUUGAGAGGAGCUGUCCUUAGUACGAGAGGACCGGGAUGGACAUACCUCUGGUGUACCAGUUGUCGUGCCAACGGCAUAGCUGGGUAGCUAUGUAUGGACGGGAUAAGUGCUGAAAGCAUCUAAGCAUGAAGCCCCCCUCAAGAUGAGAUUUCCCAACUUCGGUUAUAAGAUCCCUCAAAGAUGAUGAGGUUAAUAGGUUCGAGGUGGAAGCGUGGUGACACGUGGAGCUGACGAAUACUAAUCGAUCGAAGACU
rnacentral:rRNA from 1 species